UUACGGUCAUAUCAUGUUGAAACAUCGAUUCCCGUACGAUCACUGAAGGUAAGCAAAGACAAGCUUGGUUAGUACCAAGAUGGGUUACCGCUUGGGAAU